CCAUCUUCAGCUGGCCUUAAGAGGCAGACCAGAUGUCUAAUUUAGGGAGAAUCACCAAGAGGGAGGAGAGAGGCAGCGCGGCCAGGAGAGAACAAGAAGCCUCUUCCUUUCUGGAUACAAGAAGGCAGCCAGCUCUGAUCUGGACCUGCACGCCAGCUGGGUUUUGAAAAGGAAGACACAGAAGUAAGGCUGUCUACUGUCCAUGCCUUCAGCUCGGUCAGCCUUGGGCCUUCACCCUGCUUCGUCCAAUGCUGCCUUGGAACAAGCCCAGGCUAGCCUCUGAGAAUAAGUGGGCAGAAGGACCCUUCAUCCUGGGGCAACUCUAGCCUGCUGUGAAUAUCAAGGAUCAUCUCAGCACAGAAGGAAGGACUGCUUCUGCGUCCUUCUCAGGAGAGCAGCAUCUCAGCAAACAUCUGGCUAAGUUGGAGCAAGAACAGAGUGUGGGGAACCGUCCCAAGCUAUUCGGACUUAUUCACAGCCUUAAGGUGGCGGCUGCCGAGAAGGAAGAACAAUUAACUAGAGCCUUCCCUAUGAGCUAUCAGUGUGAGAAGAUUCCCGAGAAUACCACAAGGUGUUCCUGCCCUAAGGGCGGAAUGUACCUUCCAGCGUUAACUCCGAGUGUCCCCUCCAGAUGACCAGAUGAUCUCCUUGCUUCCUGCUUCAAUCCCUAGGGGUGUCUCUGCCCUUCCCUCCUUUGUCUGGUGUGAAGGUUAAUUCCUUCUCUGUAAGCCUUAAAACCCACUUACCUCCCCGACAUUAAAUGAAGC